GUCCCAGCACACCAAGACCUCCACCAAGCCCGCCACCCCAGUGACCCCGAAUUCAAGGAUAGAAAAUGAGCGUGAAAACACCCGUCCUUCGGAGAGCCGUGACAUUGGAAUGUGACGGUUGAGCUUCGAUUACCAAUAAAAUCAUCUGCAUCCAGUU